rnacentral:lncRNA from 1 species
AAUUUGGCAAUUUUCAAAUUAUUCGGCCUACGCAUCAAAAAUUUAUCAACAAAGUCGAUGAAAUGUAUGCCUGGAUUCCUACCAUCAGUAAAAUCAAGAUUCGGGAGUGACUCGCAGAGAGGUCUCCAUCUUUUGGACAAGAUACAAGUGCGCACGGCAGGUUUAAUUGGAAGCAAUGCAAGUAUAGCGAUGAGUAGUGAGUCAGGUAAAUCACUGAUUCUAUCUACCUCACAAAUAUUCGCUAAUUUUUUUGAAGUCGAAUUCAUGAUAUGAUACCAAUGAAUUACACUGGAAGCUGAUAAUUAGAGAUUAAAAGCUUAUGGGAAGGAAGAGAGAUUAGUUACCAAAUUCGAUGUGCGAGAAACGUUUCGGCUUACUCCAAUAGAUUGUACAGCGAUGAAACACCGAAAAAAUCAAUACUAACGAAUUCAAACUCUAUCUCUAAUGAGCAGAACCUUCACGAAUAUCUUAUGCUCGGAAUGGCUCCAAAAUCCCCAUUUUCUAGAGAGAGAGAGUAAGAGAGAGGCAUAGGGGUUGGAGAGAGAGAGGGGAGACGAGGGUUGACGGUUUUGUUUCAUUAUUUGUUUUGUUUGUUUUCUUCACUUUCUACUCCCUCUGUACCAGUCAAUUGUAUACGUUUUUUUUCGUUUUUUUUCAUUGCUCGACACGCUUUUAAGGCUCUUAUAAAACAUAGUUCUACAACUUAUUUUUAAGAUUUUCCUUUUUUUGUACAAAAAUAUAAAUGUUAUACUUUUAUAAAAAAAAAAAAUCUUAAAAAUAAUUUACUGAACUAUAAUAUAUUGAAGCAUUAAAGUCCGUGACGCGUCCCCGUCCCCCAAUGUAUACUAUUGACCGGGACGGAGGGAGUAGUAAUUUAAGAAAAAGAAAUUGUAAUAUAAUUGCUUUAAGGUUUGGGUAACAUGUGAUUUAUAUUUUAAAUUUUAAUAAUUAUGAUAUUUUUAUUAAUAAAUAAUUAUGAGAUUUUAGCAGGUACGACUAAAAUCAUUUGGCUAUCCAACUUUAAAUCAAUUUUCCAACCCAUCCGUAUCCUCAAUCUGGAAUUUUAUUUCCGAUCAUCAUUUUCAAUGGAAAAUAGUUAUAAUCGUAGGUAUUCGAAAAUUUUUAAAAUUUUUAAAUAAUAUUAUAAUAUAUUUAAUAUUAUAAAUUUUAGUUUAAAUUAUAUUAAUAAGUCACGUAAUAUUUUCUAUAUUUUUAUAUAACAUUUUAAAUAUUUAAUUCAAAUUAAUAUUUAUUUAUAAUAAAUUUUAUUUUAAUUAAUUUGUAUUAGAAAAAAACAUUUAAAUAAUAAAUGAGAUUUUUAAUUAAAUAUCAAAAUAUAAUAUGGUUAUAGUUAAUAUUUAUAAAAUAUUAAUAUAUAAAUAUAAUAUUUAUAUUAAAUAUGAAAACCGGGGAGUUUCGGUACUGACGGGGAGACUCUAAUCUUCGAACCCGUCCCGUCCCGAUCCACGAAUUUUUUAUAAAACAUUUUCCGUCUCAUCACGUAUCAAAAAAAUCCCAGAUUCUCCUACUCAAAAUGGGGCAGCGGAUCAGGGUCAUGCCCAUCCCUAAAUUUUAGCGAAUUAUGUACAUUUUAUGUUAAGAAUUCAUGGAUUAUGAUAAGAUCCAAAAAGAAAAAUAUAUAUCAAACAAUUCCAUGGAAGUUAUCAUUUUAUAAAAUUCAUAAAAAUCAUCAAUAUUCUCUUUCAAAAAAAAAAAAAAAAAAAAAAUCAAUAUUCGAUAUCAUCAUAUUUUAAUAAUUUUUAAACUUCGAGGCGAUGUUAAUAUAGUUAUUACUCCUGUAAUGUAGCAUCAAUUAUGGACUAAUAUAAUAUUAAAGAAUGUGUUAAAAUUGAAAUUUUAUAAACUUCAUUUUAUAUUCAAAAUCACUUAUAAGUUUAAUUAUAAUUGUCACUUAGGGAUUUAAGACGACAAUUGGAGAGUAAUGAAUAUAAAAAUAAAUUUGAUUUAGAUUUUUAUAGUUAUAUAAUAUCUAUUAUGAGUUUAAUUAGUUUUGUAUUUAUUUGAUAUUAUUUUAAAAUCAUAUACUGAAACACAAAAUCUACUUAAGUAACAAAAUAUAUUUUUAAAAUAUCAUAUUAUUAACGAUAGUUAUAUCUAAUCUAACAUAGCAAUGGCUUAUUAAACUGCUAAAUUCUGAGUUUCUAGUGGGUGUGGCAGGAAAACUGCCACCCAAUAUUGCAUUCAUAUCUACAUUCAAGCAUGAUCGAGUCAAGAUUAGCUAAAGAGAAAACUCUAACAUUUAUCAUCUGUAGUUGUUUCUAUUUCGUCAUUCAACAGGAUUUCAUCAUUCAACGUCGACCAAAAAAUACAAGUUCUUUUUAAAUCAUAGUGUAAUUGAAUUAAAUCGCCACUCUUCAUAGUGUUUCUGAAGAUACACCCCCAUUCUCAAAGCAUUAAAUAAUAAAUAAUGCAUCGAAGAUCAAAAUAAUACAGUAUUAAAUUACAUUUAAUAAUAAACUAAUACUCCAAUAUUUCUUGUUGGUUCCAUCCCAACUUUUCUGAUGGAAUAAAUGUUGUGGCCAAUAAAUAGUGCUUGAUCAAACUCCAUAGGGGAAUCCAAGCUUUGAUAUGCUGAUCAAACUUGUUUAUACAAGGUAUGUAUGGAUAGGUGUUAUGGUCCCUCUUACAUGGUCGUGCCAAGCCAAUAUACAGGAUGAAAGCAAGGUCUCCGUUUAACUUGAAAACUAUGAUAUCAACUUGCGAAACAGACAGUUAACAAACCAUCUGUGUUCAGCUACAAAUAAACCAGGGACAAAAUUAAUAAAUUUUCGAAUCAUACAUUCUGUAUCACCUUGGCGAAAAGUCUGGUCUGAGUGUCUGACAAAUUCAGGUUCAUCACAAGUGUUUGAAUUUACAACCUAAACUGACAGAGGCGGAUCUUAGAAGGGGCAAGAGGGGGCAACUGACCCCCCUUAAUUUUUUUGUUUGUUAAUAUUAUACAUAUUUUUAGGUUGUAAAAUUGAAAUUGACUCCCCUUAAUUUUUUUGUGACCCCUUUUAAAUUUUUUUACAAAAAAAUUGACCCUCCUUAACUUUAUAGUCAGAUCCGCCACUGGCACCAGACCACUUGCUUUGAUUCACGGAGAUAAAUAACCAAUUAGAAUCAUAACUAUCUAUAUAUCCAUUUAUCUAUAUUAUACUAUUAUAACCAGAAUUACACAUCUGUGAAGUGGGAGGGCAGAUUUGUAAUAUUGCUUUUAAGGAAGAAGGAAAACCUGAUAUCUUUCUUUGGGGUUGUUUGGUUGAACUUAAAAAAAGUGACUUAUUGCUUAAAGUAAAGAAGUGGAUUAUAAGUGAAAAGUUGGUCUGAACUUAUAAGUUAUUAAAAGUGUUUGGAUACUCAUGACUUAUUUUGUUAUAAUAAGCUCCAAACCUAAAAAAAAGCUAGAUUUUCUAGCUUUUUUUCCGAGCUUUUAAGCCUCAUUUUAAGUACUUCUCUUAAGUUUCCAAACACUACAUAAAUAAGUUGAAGCAACUUCUCUUCCAAAUAAACAACUAGCAUAAAAACCCGUGCGAGGCACGGGACUCUAGAUUUUGUUGUAUUUUAAAUAAUAUUCGUGUGUUAUCAUAUUAUUUCGAGCAUAACUAUUACGUCAUAUUUUUUAACAGAAUAUGUAAAUAUGAAAUGUAACAUUUGCAAUCUAAUAGUAUUGAUAGUAAAAAAUUAUGGAUCAAAAACAACAUUUGAACUGAUUUUUCUAUAUUCAAUUUUGUUAAGAUAUAGAGGCCACUACCAUAUUAUCAACAUGUUCAAAAUUAUACUCGAAACUAAUACUGAAACUUUUAGAAUCUAAAUAUAUUAUACCUCAUUAAAAAGAUCUGUAAUUUAUUGUUGAAAAUUAUCAAAUUAUUUCAUCCAAUAUGAAAACUUGUUCUUGAUAUGUGAAUUACGAUAUCCUAAAUCAUGAUUAGAUGAAGAUGUAUGGUCCGCGUUGUUUUAUAUUUAUUUCUCUUUUUUUGAGCGUACGUUUGUGUAAUAGUUAAGUGAUAUAUGAUGGACAUACCAUCAACACAUUCUUUUUUAUCAUAUGUUGCACACACCUUGUAUAAAUAAUAAUUGAAACAUAUAUUAUAUGUAAAAGACCCUACCUUACUUUAUUAUAAAAGCAUCCAUUGAACUACUAACCUUAUAAUUGUACCCGAAAAAUUUCGACACGUUUGAUUUGACUUACCCUUUUAAUUUUCAUAUCAAUUAUAUAGUAUUUCAAUGUCUUAUAUUUUUUUGUUAAUUUAAAAUAUUAGAUGAUUAUUACUUUAAUACCGCGUGUUAUAAUAUUGUCUUGCUAUAAAAUUUUGUUUUUUAUCAUUAGUUUUCUGAGCUUGUUGAUUUAGGCUUUUAAUGAUUUUUCAUGUAAUUGUUAUAAACCAGAUCUCAAAUAGCAAAAAUAGAGUAGAUGUCAGUUAGGCACCAUGAAGUUCAUAAAAAUAAGAAAUAUUUAGUUUAAUUAGCCGUAUAGUUACUUUUUUAGCUUUGUGCAAACUCACAUUUUUAAAUAUUUUGAUACUCUUAUUUCUUAGGGGUGAGCAAUGUAGCAUAUCAUGUUCAAUUGUUAAAGAUCAAAUCAGGUGUUCGAUAUUCUGGAUUAUGGAAAACUAUUCUUGUUCUAUUCCCGUUUAAUCAGAUAUUAGUUUUCACCUUAUCGCGUCGGAUUAUCCAUUUCAGAAUUAAUUAUAUUUUAUUAGUUUAAUUUGUAAAUGAUUAAUUAAUUUAAUUAUAGUUUGAAUCAUUUUAUUUAACUCGUAUGUUAUACAUUGAUGGAUGGCAUAUUAAAAUUAUAGUUUUAAGACUUUAAUAUAUAUAUAUAACUUAUUUCUCUGUGUUAUUUUAUUUUAAGCAAGUAAAAUUUAUAACUCAAUUCUUUUUAGUAGGUCUCGUAAACGCGUUUUAUUAUUAUUUGGUUGACUUUUGAUUAACAAUAUAGAAAUUCCCUAAAUUCACCUUUGUAUCACAAGUUAUAAUAUUUCAAAUUCAUAUAUCACCAAAAUCACAUCAUUUAGACGUAUUUUCUAACACCAAAUUUGAUGUAUUUGUCACUAUUCUUAUAUCUAUAAAAAAAAAAUUUGAAAAGAUUUGGUUACACGUCGAAUUCUGGAUUCAUCAUAAGUUUAAAAUAAAAAAGUAAUCCAAAUAAAAAUAUUCUCUCAGUUAUCUUAUUUUAUGUUCUUCAAAAUAUUGUAAUUUUUUUAUAAGUCACUUUUUAUAAUUAAAAGAAAAAUAUGACAUAAUCCAUGUUGAAAGUCCAUCAAUUUUUCCUUUCAAAGAUGCUCACCGAAAUCUUAGUUUUUGUGCUUAUUUCUCACAUUCAUGGCUUAAAAUUUUCUAAUAUUGUAUCAGUACUCGUUUAAAGUAUUAAGUUAGAUUUGAAUUCGUCCAAUUUUAUUCAAAUAUGAAUUAUAUCCAUUAUUUGAAGUCUGAAACAUGGCUCGAGCCCAAUUGUUCAAAAUUUUUUCAAAUUUAAAUUCAUUACGUAAGUAAUUAAUUUAUGGAUAUUAAUCUAUCAUGUAAAAAACAUAUGAGACUUACCUGAAAUAAUAACUUAUUUCAAAUAAAUAAGAUAUUGAAAAAAAUAUAAAUACAACAGUUUUAAUGUAUGAGUUUAAUGCUUUUGAACAAAAAAAAUUAAUUGUCUGUGUAGCUCAAGUGGUUUGAGAGGUGUACUUGUAAUGAAGAGGUCUUGGGUUCAAGUCCCAUUAAUAACAUUUUUUUUGUAUGUAUGAGAAAGAGUUAGGUUCGGAGUUAGGCUCGGGUUCGGAGUUAGGUAAUUUAUUUGCUCAGGAGGGAGGCUUGACACGAACCUGUUGGACUACUAUAUAUCUAUACUAUACUAUAAUAAGCCAACAUGGGUAUAAUUUGUAGUCCUAGAUUUUAGUUAUAUUUUUUGGUUUGGUACUCUCCUUUUGGUACUACAACUCUAGAAAUGUGGAGUCUAUUAGUCUUACAUUGUUAAACAGUUUCAAAUACUAAAAACACUCCUAACAAUACCUUAUCAUAUAAUAUUUCAUUAAAAAAUUAUAAUGAUGUUAUAAAUAAAAUUAUAAAUAAUAAUUUUGAAUAUCUUUUUUUAACAAAAAGCUUUAUAUAACUCUUUUUAACUUUAAUGUGUUCUAUUUCAAUAUAAACACCAAACAUUACAUAACCCUUUCUAACUCAAAUCUUAAAAGUUUCUGUUGUCAAACAAAUCAAGAUUACAGAAUUAUGUUGAAAUUUGAUUGAUUAGAUUACUGAAUUUUUCAAAUGUAUUACAAGAUCGUCUAUGUUUGGAAAAGAUUUGAAUUUUCUGAUUUUUUUAAUUUUUAGAUCUACAUGUACUAAAUUCGGAUUAAAUCUCUCUCUCUCUCUCUCUCUCUCUCUCUCUCUCUAUAUAUAUAUAUAUAUAUAUAUAUAUAUAUAUAUAUAUAUUUGUUAGGAUUUGUCCAUUUUCAGGUAAUCAUGAGAAAAUAUAGUCAGUCGAAUAAUAUAAUUUAAUUAAAUUCAAUCUAUUAAUAUUAAAAUACCAAUAAAAUGAUGUUAAAAUUUAAAUUAUAAAAAUUAAAUUACGAACUAUAUAUCCGCCCGUGCUUCGCACGGGUUAAAGGCUAGUAUAAGUAGAUAGAUAAGUUGAGUUUGCCAAACACCCACUUUAUAUCUGAUGAAAACUUAAAGUUGGGUCCUUUCAACUUUCUGAACAUGUUAAACCGGUCUCUUAAAUUUUCAAAAGCAUAAACAACACCUGAAGUUUCCAUAAAUUACGAACUAGUCUGUCUACUUGCAGAAAAGUAGUCCCUCACAGUUUCAAAAAAUUACUGGCCCAUCCAAUGCUUCCAGUUCAGAAUUUGACAUUUUGAUCCUUUUAGAAGAAUAUAAUUUAGAAGUUACACUGUUUUUUAAAGAUUAAAAUGUUCCUUUUAAGUUGAGGAAAAAUUCUUGGUAAAUACAUGAACUUCAGUUUAAGUUAUAUACACAAAAUUAAAAUAAAAAAUUACUAAUGUGGCACUUCUGCAAGUCGUGUAAACAUGACCACUGGUUACUAUCCACAUAGCCGUCAAGGUAUAUUAUUUUUUCGCCAUUCACUCUUUUUUAUCAGUGUAUAUAAAUGGCUUUGUAUUUUACAGAUAUAAAUCAUGUUGUCUAUGUUAUAUGUCAUGUUUCCAGGUCUUGCAGACACCAAUUCUAGCAUGUUUGUGUCUAAUAUAACUAAUGCUGGAUCAUCUUCAAGAAGUCAUAAGUAUAUAGCUAAGAGGAAAUCUAGAUUAUGUGGAACUGAAACAACCAAGAACUUAUUUGAAGAGGACUUCACAGUCACACAAGAAAACAGCCCCAACACACGAGGUUAGACAACCUUUUCUCCAAUUACCAUAUUAUGAUUGGAACUUUAUUCAUAUAUUGCAAAGGACCAACAGAAGUCUGAUGUUUUAUGUAGAGAAUUCAGCUUCACCUGAUGAUAUGUUCACGUAUGAAGAUGAUUUCUCGGACGACUCAGAUUGUAUGUUAUGAACCUAUGCUUCCACAUUGAUGUUAUAUACAUAGAUUAUUUGUUGAUUUUAUUAACAUCUGCAUUCAAAACAGAUAACUCCAGUGAAGAAUUUAUACAGGAGAUAUAGAAAUUGUUCUCGGUGAUCGGCAGAUUCGUACUAUAAUUGGAAAAAGAGCAUAUAAUGAAUAAUUUCUUUUUCAAUAUUAGGAUGGUAAUGAAGAAGCUUUCCCACAAGAGCUGAGAACUAUAAUCAAUAAAGACUAUAGUGUGAUUCUAAGGAUUACUUAAAUUAACAAUGCAAAUAAAAUCAACAUCUACUCAGCAACUAACAUAUGCAAAGGCUUCCAAAAACCUGAAACAGAAGUGUAGGAAAUCAUGGAAACCAGUGAACAAAUUGAAACUGAGGUAAGAAGAAGAUGUUUACACUUAUUGUUCUGUUGCAAAUGAUAAAUAAUGAUUUUUUUUUUCCCGUAUUUCUUACAGGCAACAACUUCAACAUACCACCUUGAUGGAAUGUCAACACAAACAGCAAGGACUUAAAGCUAUGGUGGAUCACACAGCAGUCAUGAUUUUUUAUCAUAUGUCUUUAAUCUGUCUUCAAAAAAUAUUUGUGCUCAAGAAUGUAAUAUUGUAAACUUUGAACUUAUCAAGAUCACGGUCAAAAUGGUUUUUUAUUGUUGAUAUCAGCUCUUCUUAGUGCUUUUUAUGUUAUAUAUGUUUUCACAUUUUGAUUUAAUAUGUCAUUAAAAUAUCAACGCAAGUAUAUAUAAUGUAAAGGCCCUGCACCGCGGGUACAAAUACUAGUUAUACUAUUAUAACCAGAAUUACACAUCUGUGGGCAGUGGGCAGAUUUUGUAUUUUGCUUUUAAGGAAGAAGGAAAACCGAAAACCUAAUAUCUUUCUUUAUAUCUGAUGAAAACUAAAGUUGGGUCCUUUCAACUUUCUGAACAUGUUAAACCGGUCUCUUAAAUUUUCAAAAACAUAAACACCACCUGAAGUUUCCAUAAAUUCCGAACUAGUCUAUGUACUUGCAGAAAACUAGUCCCUCGCAGUUCCAGAAAAUUACUGGCCCAUCCAAUACUUCCAGUUCAGAAUUUGACAUUUUGAUCCUUUUAGAAGAAUAUAAUUUAGAAGUUACACUGUUUUUUAAAGAUUAAAAUGUUCCUUUUAAGUUAAUGAAAAAUUCUUGGUAAAUACAUGAACUUCAGUUUAAGUUAUAUACACAAUAUUAAAAUCAAAAAUUACUUAAAGCAGAUAUGAAAAGUAAAAAUAUAACAACUAGGUUAGAUUGUAAAUAUCAGUAGCAUCAAGCAGAGUAAUCUAACUUACAAAGUUAACGAGAAAGAAACCCAAAAAGCAUAACAAUGCAAAAUAAUUACCCCCACCGGCAGACAAGUUCCUGGUAACACCAUGUUUGCACAAACGAGUCUGGCAAACCGUAUAAAAGGGAAAGGACAGGGAUUUCGCGGCCUGGUAAGAGCAUGCAUUGUCCGGACAUAGUUUAAGGUUAUCUCUAACUUUGAGGUCUAGAAUUAAAGUUGUUAAUUGCCAGAAUUAAGGAAAUGAGUUUUAAAACUAAGAUUCGGAGAUUGCAGCUUAUCAAUAUUCUGCAGACCUCGGCUUAGCAAACAAUAGUGUUUAGUGGACAAGGUAAAGAGGUUCGAUGGUGGAAGAAUGUAGAUGUUAAAAGAAAAAUAUCGUACAAUCAUGGAAAGGCGCGAUAAUGCAACAAUUAUACCCUACUGAUCCACCAAAAUAUAUGACAAGACAACAACCUGGUGGUAUCUAACCAUAAUAUAGUGAAAAAUUAGGUAGUAGCAUAAACGGACUUCCUUCAAAAAUAGAUAUUGAUUCCCUACUUGUAAAAAAAAAAAAAAAAGAUACCGAUUACUGAGGAAACCUAAUACCAAGAUAAAUAAACACAAACCUAAGAGAGGAUGGACCAAAAUUAACGAUAGAAUGAGUCAUUAAGGUCAGCAAGUAAGACAAGCAAUCCAGACACAACUUCAUCUACUUAUCACUCAUUUUCGCCCGUAACCUAGAAAAGAUCGGUACUUAACUUGUGGCUCUAUGAAGCACCUCUAUGCAGCUAGGACAAGGUGUGACAUUCCUUAGCAUCUUAGCUAUCUUCCACUUUUUAGAUAUUGGAAUUUAUGUGUAUUCAUACUAUUUAAACUUAAAAGCAGAUUCCUUAUCUAACAAUAAAGCAAAAGAAUUACACAACCAAUAAACUAUCAUUCUUAAACAAUGCAUCUUGUUAAUAUUUCAUGCCACAGUGAAACGCAAAAAUAACAAUGCUGGGGAAAAAAACAUUGUAGCAAAAACUAAUAAAAACUAGAAGAAAAACAGAGCUUAUUACAGAAAAUGUACCUCAUACAUUUUGUGAUUACAAAUAGCAUGUCUCAUUUUCAUCCUAUAAUAUUAAGCUUGCAACUUGUUGAUUCACUCUGUAAGUUUAACAGUUCGUGCCGGGCGUUUGCAUCUUUUGACAAAUUUGAAAUUUCAACUGAUACAUUUCGCAAAGCACUCCCAUAAGCUAGCAGGCAUUUAACAAAUGCCAAUACCUCAUCUACUUCGCCGAAUGUUCUAAUAUAUACUGUUUUAAGAUGUGUGGAUAAGCAUUCUGGAACACGUGCUUGUGACCAGGCCCAUGAGCCGCGAAAAGAUUCAUGAAGGGAACUACAACCAAGACCCUGCUAACAAGAGAGAGCAAAGUGUUAAAUUCUAAGUUCAGUGUCCUUGACAAAUACGUCAAAUCUCAGUUUUUAACUCACCUGCGGAAAUUGAAGACUUUCAAGGUUCGGUGAGCUUUGAAGGAAGUCAUCCAGUAAAGUUUUGUGAAAAAAAUCGUCAACAUCAAUUACCAACUCAGUCAAGUUAUGAAAUGGAGGAAACUCAUAAUGACCUGAUCUUAACUCAUUAUCAUAUGCCAGGCUGAGGAUCUUCAAAAUAAGAAGGCAAGCCGUGACAGUCACAUAAAUUUGCAGCAAAGAUAAAAAUUAGUUCAUUUACAUUAAGAUUUAGGCAUGACACUAACCUCCACAGUGUUAUCUGACAAAGUCAAAAAUUUGACAUGAUUAAUCUUUUUAAGCACCCCUAACACGUAAUAAACUCCUUGUGGCAUCUCAUCAUCAAAGAUGUCGAUUACAGCUAUCUUGAGGAAUGGCAAGUUCUCCUUGAACAAAAUAUCAUUAUCACCGCCUGCGUAAGAACAAAUUUGGAGAUUCUCUAAUCUCGGUGUAUCAAUCAUAGUCCGAAUCACAAAUUCUGCAUCAUCUGAACCAAGAUAAUAUGACAACCUCUUCAAUACAGAUCCACAAAUAUUGAAAGAGUUGCCCGUAAGCCAUUCACAGUGGACAAUUUCCAAAUCUUCAAGCACAGGACAGUUUAACAAAAGCUUCCCAACUGACUCACAGCUCGAAAUCAUAACUCUGUCGAAUCUAAGCAGCCGAAGCCUCGGAAGCGUAACAUUCUCCGGAAUCUCAACUGAUAUUUUCCCACUGAGUCGAACAACUUCAACACUAGCAGACAUGUAAAAAAAAUCUUGGACCAAAUUAUACAAGUCUCGAAACGAAAGACAAAGGUUUAUCUCUUUCAAAUCACGUCCAAGCGCAUUUAUAAUCCACUCAUUAACGCGGUCCCGGUAGUAGUCUCCACGAUAACAAUUUAACCGGAAUUUAGCGAUUUUCAAGUUAUUCGGCCUACGCAUCAAAAACCUAUCAACAAAGUUGGUGAAAUUUAUGCCUGAAUUGCUAACAUCAACAAAAUCAAGAUUCGGGAGUGACUCGCAGAGAGGCCUCCAUUUUUUCGACAAGAUACAAGUGCGUACAGCAGGUUUAAUUGGAAGCAAUGCAAGUAUAGCGAUGAGGAGUGAGUCAGGUAAAUCACUGAUUCUAUCUACCGCACAAAUAUUCGCUAAUUUUUUUGAAGUCGAAUCCAUAAAAUUUACCAAUGAAUUACAUAAAAACUUGAUCAAAAGCUGGAUGAGGAUGGGAAGGAAGAGCGAUUGAUUACCAAAUACGAUGCACGAAAGACGUUUCAGCUUACUCCAGUGAGGCAGUGACCGGGGUUUUUAGGUUUGCUGGAGAUUUUGACCCGGUAAUAUAGAUUCAUAGGAUCCGAACUCGAUCCAUUAAUAUGCUUGUUUACUCGUGUCUGUUAUGAGUUUAGAAGUUUAUUUAGAGAAUUAUUGGGAUUCCCUCUAAAUAAUUAUAUUUUGUUUUGAAUUUAUUGAAAAUGAUAUUAUUGAAUCGAAGUAGGAUGUGUGAGGCAGAUUUUUUAAGAUUGAUGUUAAAAUAGUUACUAUCCUUAAUAUAAGUUCAGUCAUUUAAAAGGGUCCAAUGCUAGCACAAAUUUAAAAUAUAUUGAUAUUGAUAACAUCAAUUAUAACCAUAGAACAUGAGAAUGAAAUAAUAUAAAAAAAUGUUAUAACUAAAAAUUGUUAACUUUCAUUCUAUAAAAUCAAUUAUAAAUGUAAUUAUGAUUGUGACAUGGGUAUUUAAGUUGAAAGGUAGAGAGGUGGAAAAUGGUAGUGAUUUGAAAAAAAAUAUAAAUUUUUUCCCUAAUCUAGUUGGCGAGGUAUUAUUAGUUGGAAAAUGUUAGUAUUCAGAAAGUAUUCUCAAAUUUUUUUCCAAAUUCAAACAACACUCUAUGAUUGGUUCAAAUUACACUAAUAAUAAUAGGAUCAUUUAUGCACAUCAACUGCCCAAUUAAAAUUAGUCAUAUGUCUAUCACGUCAAAGUAGAAUUUAGCAUUACCCUUAUUAGUUUCACACAUAUUAAUAAUAAUGCCUUUGAAUACACAAAUCACCCAAUUAAAAUUAAUCAUCUAUUUGCCACCUCAUUUGAAAGAAGAAUUGAAACAGAAUUUGAGAUAUAUAACACUACUCUAAAAGAGAAAUGAAUAUGAAAAUUAAUCUGGUUUAAGUUUUUGUAGUUAGGUUGAUAUCAAUUAUAAACUUAAUUGGUUUUGCUUUGUUUGAUUCCAUUUAAAAUUUAACUAUAAAAUUUGUUGUAAUAAUAAAAUGUAUUUUUUAAUUUUAUACUAAUAACAAUAACUAGUUCUGAGACUUGUUUAGCUUAAUUUAAAAAAAGUAACUCAUCGCAUAACAGGAAAAAAUAAAUUAUAAAUAAUAUAAUUUUAAACAUAUAAAUUACCCAAGUGUUUGUACAAUUGUGUGAUAAAAAGUUGCGGAAAAUAGAUGUUAAGAGCAUCUCCAACGGCGUUGGCUAUAAUCGUUGGCUAAAUUGGACCUGUAAGGCUUUAUGUAAAAUUUGCUGAACCUGUAACACAUUUUGCUUCAAUGGUAUUGGCUAUAAUUUAAAAAUAGUAUGUUAUUAAUAUUUUAAAUUGUUAAAAUAGAAUAUAUCAGUUCAAUAUGGUAAUAAAUGAUGUGCAAUCUUCCUACAGAUUUUCUUACAGACCUGUAGAGGUUCGACAAAUUUAGCCAUCCAUAGGAGGUUGGCUAAAAUUAUAGACAACAGGUGGGCGUGGUUGGAGUGUACUUUUUUGACGAUGUUGGCUAUAAUUUUUAAUUAUGGUAUGCCAACUCACAUUUUAGCUAAGGGUACUCUAUGGUUGGAGAUGCUCUUAGAGCAUCUCCAACCAUCUAAAACCCUUGGCUAAAAAGUGAGUUGCUUACCUAAAAUAAAAAAAUUUAGCCAAGAGCUCCAAAAACUCAACUCCAACCAUGCUCACCUGUUGUCUAUAAAUUUAGCCAACCUCCUAUGGAUGACUAAAUUUGUCGAACCUCUACAGGUCUGUAAGAAAAUCUGUAGGAAGAUUGUACAUCAUUUAUUACCAUAUUGAACUGAUAUAUUCUAUUUUAACAAUUUGAAAUAUUAAUAACAUACUAUGUGGGCGUGGUUGGAGUGUACUUUUUUGACGAUGUUGACUAUAAUUUUUAAUUAUGGUAUGCCAACUCACAUUUUAGCUAAGAGUACUUUAUGGUUGGAGAUGCUCUAAGUGAUUGAUUGGUUGGGCUACUAAGCCCAGCUUUUGGGCGUAUAAACCUGAUAUAGUUUAGCCCAACUUUUCGAUUUAUAAAUCCGAUUAGUUUAUUCAAAUUGUUUGUUUAACAAACUUAUAAAUUGAUUCCCGCUAUAUAAGUUGAUUACGUCAGAAUAUAAAAAGUUGAGCAUGCUAGUUUUUUAGUUUCUUAUUAUUAUUUUUUUGAAACUUGAUUUUACAAAUAUGCAGAGAAUGACUUUAAAAGAUAAUCUAUAUAAUUUAUUAUUAUAUUAAAAAUUCUUAUACUUUUUGAAAAUUCUUAUACUUAAUAAAUUGCAAGCACAAAAAAAUUAUUCAGAAUAAAACUUAUCUUUCAUUUAUAAUUAACUUUCUCAUUUAUCAUGACAAAAAAAAAAUUUAACUUCUCAUUUAUAAAUAUUAAGCCCUUCUUUUAUGUUCCGCUUAACGGAUCCUACAUUUGCAGUAGCUUUCAACUUCUGCUCUUAAAAUUUAAAAUAAGUACAUGCCUGUUAUUUUACCAAACAAACCACAACAGCAAAUAUCAUCUCAGGAAAAAAGCCAAAAAGCAGAGUCCGCCAAACACCCAUCUAAUCCAACAAUAGCAAUGGACUUGCAGGCUCAUUAAAUUCCUACUAUCUGGUGGGUGUAUUAGGAAAAGUGCCACCAAAUAUUGCAUUCAUUAUCUAACCAUCAAACUCUGCUACAUUCAUGCAUGAUAGAGUCGAGACAAACUCUCCAACGUUCAGACAAACUCUCCAACAUUCUGAACCUCUGAAAAUCAGAUUCAGCCUCAAAUUUUAGUAGGGAGAGCGAAAUUCGAGUGCUUGAAGAAUACAUAGAUGACACGAAAAUUUUAAAUUAUCUAAGAUACAGGUAGAAAAAAUAGAUAUAUUUCUAAGCUGAAAUCAAUAAGUGAAUAUUCCUGUUUCAAGAUAUGUAAAGAUUAACUAAAGAGAUAACUCAACAUUUAUCCCCUGUUUCUGUUUCAUUGUACAACAGGAGGUUCCGACCAAAAAUACAAGUUCUUUUUAUCACUAAUCACAGAAUUAUAGUGCAACUGAAUUAAAUAGCCAUUCUUCACACUGUUUCUGGAAGCUCCAUUUUACUUCAAUUGAACUAGGACACCAUUCUGAAAGCAUUAACUAAUGCAUCCAAGAUCAAAAUAAUAUUGAAUAACAUUUGAUAAUACACUAAUACUCUAAUAUUUCUUGCUUGUUCCAUCCCAACUUUUCCAAUGGAAUAAAUGUUGUCGCCAACAUAUAGUGCUUGAUCAAACUCCAUAGGGGAAUCCAAGCUUUGAUGUGCAAAUCAAACUUGUUUAUACAAGGUAUGUAUUAAUAGGUCUUAUGGUCCCUCUUACAUGGUCGUGCCAAAGCCAAUAUACAGGAUGAACUAUAGCAAGGACUCCGUUUAACUUGAAAACUAUGAUAUCCCGAAUCAGGCAGUUGAUCGAACCAGCUGUAUUCAGCUACAAAUAAACCAGGCACAAAAUUAAUAAUUUCUCUAAUCAUCCAUUCUGUAUAACCUUGGCGAAAAGUCUGAUCUGAGUGUCUGACAAAUUCGGGUUCAUCACAAGUGUUUGAAUUUACAUACUAAACUGACAAUCUACAUUAGGGAAGUAGGCAUGAUAUCUAGCACCAGCCCACUUCCUUUGGCUCACGGAGAUAAAUAAACCAAUUAAAAUCAUAACUAAUCUAUAUAUCCAUUUAUCUAUAUAUUAUACUAUUAUAACCAGAAUUACACAUCUGUGAAGAGGGAGGGCAGAUUUUGUAUUUUGCCUAAAGGAAGAAGGUAACACUAAUAUCUUUCUUUAUAUGUGAUGGAAACUUAAAGUUGGGUCCCUUCAACUUUCUCACUUUUUGAACAUGUUAAACCAGUCUCUUAUGUUUUCAAAAAUCAUAAAAAACCUCUGAAGUUUCCAGAAAUUACGAACUACUGUACUUGCAGAAAACUAGUCCCUCACAGUUUAGAAAAUUACUGGCCAAUCCUAUGCUUCCAGUUCCAGAAUCUGACAUUUUGAUCCUUUUAGUAAAAUAUAACUUAGAAGUUACUAUUUUUUUUGAAAAAUUAAAAUGUUUCUUUCAAGUUGAAUGAAAAGUUUUUUUGUAAAGACAUGAACUUUAAUUUAAGUUUAUAAACACAAAAUAAAAAUUAAAAAUUACUUAAAGCAGAUAUGAAAAGAAAAAAUAUAACAACUAAGUUGGAUCGUAAAUAUCAGUAGCAUCAAGCAGAGUAAUCCAACUUACAAAAGUUAACGAGAAAGAAACCCAAAAAACAUAAAAAUGCAAAAUAAUUGCCCCCCACCAGUACACAAGUUCUUGGUAACACCAUGUUUGCACAAACGAGUCUGGCAAACCAUCUAAAAGGGAAGGACAGGGCUUUCGCGGCCUAGCAAGAGCAUGCACUGUCCUGACAUAGUUUAAGGCUAUGUAUAACUUUGAGGUCUAGAAUUAAAGUUGCUAAUUGCCAAAAUUAAGGAAAAUAAGUUAUAAAACUAAGAUUCUGAGAUUGCAGCUUAUCAAGAUUCUGCAGACCUCUGCUUACCAAACAAUAGUGUUUAGUGAACAAGGUAAAGAGGUUCGAUGGUGGAAGAAUGUAGAUCUUAAAAGAACAGUCAUGGAAAGGCACGAGAAUGCCACAAUUAUACCCUACUGAUCCACCAAAAUAUAUGAAAAGACAACAACCUGGUGGCAUCUAACCAUAAUAUAAUGAUAAAUUAAAGAGUAGCAUAAACAGAUUUCCUUCACAAAUAGAUAUUGAUUACCUACUUUACAAAAAAAAAAAACAAGAUAUUUAUAACUAGGAAACCAAAUACCAAGACAAAUAAACACAAACCUAAGAGAGGAUGGACCAAAAUUAAUGAUAGAAUGAGUCUUUAAGGUCAGCAAGUAAGACGAGCAAUCCAGACACAACUUCAUCUACUUAUCACUCAUUUUCACCCGUAACCUAUAAAAGAUUGGAUCUUAAUCUGUGGCUCCACGAAGCACCUCUAUGGUGCUAGGACAAGGUGUGACAUUGCUGCGCAUCUUAGCUAUUUUCCACUUUCUAGAUAUUGGAAUCCAUGUAAAUUCACACUAUUUAAACUAAAAACAGGUUCCAUAUCUAACAAGAAAGCAAAAGAAUUACACAAUCAACAAAAUAUCAUUCUUAAACAAUGCAUCAAAUAUCAUUCUUAAACAAUGCAUCUUGUUAAUAUUUCAUGCCACAGUGAAAGGCUAAAAUAACAAUGCUGGGAGAAAAACAUUGUAGCAAAAACUAAUAAUAAUAUAAAAGAAAAACAGCGCUUAUUACAGAAAAUUUACCUCAUACACUUUGUGAUUAUAAGAAGCAUUUCCCAUUUUCAUCUAUAAGAUUAAGCUUGCAAGUUGUUGAUUCGGUCUGUAAGUUUAACAGUUCUUGCCAGGCCUCUGCAUCUUUUGACAAAUUUGAAAUUUCAAUUGAUACACUCCGCAAAGCACUCCCAUAAGCUAGCAGGUAUUUAACAAAUGCCAACUCCUCAUUUAUUCCAUGGAAUUUUCUAAUAUAUACUGUUUUAAGAUGUGCGCAUAAGCAUUUUGGAACCCGUGAUUGUGACCAGCCCCAUGAGCGGCGAAAAGAUUCAUGAAGGGAAGUACAAACAAGACCCUGCCAACAAGAAAGAGCAAAGUGUUAAAUUCUAAGUUCAGUGUCCUUCUUGACAAAUACGUCAGAUCUCAGUUUUUAAACUCACCUGCGGAAAUUCAAGACUUUCAAGCUUCGCUGAGUUUUGAAGGAAGUCAUCCAGUAAAGUUUCAUGACAAUAAUCUUUAACAUUAAUUAACAACUUAGUCAAGUUAUGAAACGGAGGAAACUCAUAGUGACCUGUUCUUAACUCAUUAUCAUAUGCAAGGCUGACGAUCUUCAAAAUAAGAAGGAAAAGCGUGAGAGUCACAUAAAUUCACAGCAAAGAUAAAAAUUAGUUCAAGUAAGUUAGGAUUUAGGCAUGACACUAACCUGCACAGUGUGAUCUGACAAAUUCAAAAUUUUGACGUGAUUAAUCUUUUUAAGCAGCCCAAACACGCAAUCAACUCCUCGUGGUAUCUCAUUAUUAUAGAUGUCGAUUACAGCUAUCUUGAGGAAUGGCAAGUUGCCCUUGAACAAAAUAUCAUUAUCACCGCAUGUGUAAGAACAAAUUUUAAGACUCUCUAAUCUCGGUGUAUCAAUCAAAGUCCGAAGCACAAAUUCUUCAUCAUCUGAACUAAGACAAUAUGACAACCGCUUCAAUGCAGAUCCACAAAUACUGAAAGAGUUGCCCGUAAGCCAUUUACAGUGGACAAUAUCCAAAUCUUCAAGCACAGGACAGUUUAACAAAAGCUUCCCAACUGACUCAUAGCUCGAAAUUCUAACGUUGUGGAAGCUAAGUACCCGAAGCCUCGAAAACUUAACAUUCUCCGGAAUCUCAAGUAAUAUUUUCCCACGGAGUAGAAGAACUUCAACACCAGUACACAUGUAAAAAAAGUCUUGAACCAAUUCACACAAGUCUGGAAAUGAAAUAACAAGGACUAUCGCUUUCAAAUCACGCCCAACAGCAUUCAUAAUCCACUCAUCAACGCGGUCCCUGUAGUAAUCUCCACCAGAACAAAUUAACCGGAAUUUUGUGAUUUUCAAAUCAUUCAGCCUACGCAUCAAAAACUUAUCAACAAAGUUGGUGAAAUUUAUGCCUGAAUUCCUAACAUCAACAAAAUCAAGAUUCGGGAGUGACUCGCAGAGAGGCCUCCAUCUUUUCGACAAGAUACAAGUGCGUACAGCAGGUUUAAUUGGAAGCAAUGCAAGUAUAGCGAUGAGUAGUGAGUCAGGUAAAUCACUGAUUCUAUCUACGUCACAGAUAUUCGUUAAUUUUCUUGAAGUUGAAUCCAUGGACCAUGAUAGG